rnacentral:lncRNA from 1 species
UCUUACAGGAAGGAAAGAGGUGUUCUUCCUUCUCUGCCUCAACUCUAUAGUACCUCUUUUCCCACUCCUAACACCACAUCAUCCCAUCUUGUAUCCGGCUACCUUCUCUUCAUCCCUCAGAACUCUCUGGGCACUCAUCCCCUAUGCAGGAAAGCUCGGUGGAUGUGUGAUCUGACUAUGAGAGCACUCCUUCAUCUUACCACAUCACUGUAUCUUUGAGCUCUAAAGAGUGGGCUAUUUUUCUACAUCCUAUACUAGACUAUAAAUCUCCUGGGAAUUGUACUUUGUAUUGCUAACAUCUAGCAAGGCUUGUAAUGACAUACAAACCAUUUUAUUAAAAUUUGUUCUUGAGUGAAGUCAAGUUCAUCUCUAGAAACAACACUGUACAGGGUGUUUGAAUUUCUCGAUUAAAUAGCACUUGAGAUACUCUUUCAGGCAUUGUGGAUUAAAUAAAUAAAGUGCAGUAGUUGACCUGAGGACAUAACUGUUUCCAAAAAAUGUUUCAAAACACUGCCAUUUAUAAGUAAGGGGUCUGCCUGCAUAUUUAGUGGUAUGCCUAUGUAUUUUUUAUAUCUAUAUAACUGAAUAUGUUUUAAAGCUUAAUUAUGUGUUUGUAAAACAUUGUGUAUGUGUGUACAUAUGUAUGUGUAUAUACAUAUAUAUCCAUGUAAUUUC